rnacentral:rRNA from 1 species
UCCGACCUCAAUUCGGAUGGGUUGACCCGACGAAUUUAAAAAUAUAAAUAAGCGGAGGAAAAGAAAAUAACAAGGAAUUCCCCCGAAAAGGAGAGUGAAGCGGAAAGAACCCAGCAAGGAAU